rnacentral:rRNA from 1 species
AGCGAACGCUGGCGGCAGGCCUAACACAUGCAAGUCGAACGAACCUUUCGGGGUUAGUGGCGGACGGGUGAGUAACACGUGGGAACGUGCCUUUAGGUUCGGAAUAACUCAGGGAAACUUGUGCUAAUACCGAAUGUGCCCUUCGGGGGAAAGAUUAAUCGCCUUUAGAGCGGCCCGCGUCUGAUUAGCUAGUUGGUUGAGGUAAUGGCUCACCAAGGCGACGAUCAGUAGCUGGUCUGAGAGGAUGAUCAGCCACAUUGGGACUGAGACACGGCCCAAAACUCCUCGGGAGGGCGGAGGUGGGGAUCCUGGCGAAUGGGGGAAAAGCUUACGCAACCAUGGCGGGUGGAUGAAGGAGGGCUUAGGAUUGUAAAAUUCUUUCACCGGGGACGAUAAUGACGGUACCCGGAGAAGAAGCCCCGGCUAACUUCGUG